rnacentral:tRNA from 1 species
GGAGCGGACAGGCGCUGGUGUGUCUCCCGGUCUUCAAAACCGGUGUGGGGCGGAGACGUCCCGGAUGAGUUCAAUUCUCAUACGCUUCC